rnacentral:ribozyme from 13 species
UGAUAGAUCGAGAAUAAAAAGAGAGAGAUGAUUUAAAUCAAAGAAGGGGCACCACUGAAGAAGUCCCAUGCACUGCCUUCUUUCGUAUCUUCUUUUUCCUGUUGUUCUUCUGCUUCUACUUCUUGUGCGAC